rnacentral:rRNA from 1 species
CCUACGGGUGGUAGCAGUGGGGAAUAUUGGACAAUGGGCGAAAGCCUGAUCCAGCCAUGCCGCGUGUGUGAAGAAGGCCUUCGGGUUGUAAAGCACUUUCAGUGGGGAAGAAAGCCUUGGGGCUAAUACCCUCGAGGAAGGACAUCACCCACAGAAGAAGCACCGGCUAACUCCGUGCCAGCAGCCGCGGUAAUACGGAGGGUGCGAGCGUUAAUCGGAAUUACUGGGCGUAAAGCGCGCGUAGGCGGUCUGAUAAGCCGGUUGUGAAAGCCCCGGGCUCAACCUGGGAACGGCAUCCGGAACUGUCAGGCUAGAGUGCAGGAGAGGAAGGUAGAAUUCCCGGUGUAGCGGUGAAAUGCGUAGAGAUCGGGAGGAAUACCAGUGGCGAAGGCGGCCUUCUGGACUGACACUGACGCUGAGGUGCGAAAGCGUGGGUAGCAAACAGGAUUAGAUACCCCAGUAGUC